rnacentral:piRNA from 1 species
UUCAAGACCAGCCUGGUCAGCAUGGUGAA